GGGGGAAAGUCUCCCUGACAACAACGAUAUUUACCCAUGUGCAAAGAUGAUAGACAGAGUCACUUUGGCAUCUUGACAAUUCAGACACUGCACUCCGCGGUUUUGCCUUCCUGGCUGCUUUUUCCCAAGUCCAUAUAUAAAACAAGAAUGAAAAUCAUUCAAGUGGUAAAUUACUCUCCCUGGAAAGAAGCCUUCAGUUUGACCAGUAUACAAAUGAGGUUUGAGAACGGAGAUGUGGAAUAUUUUUUUGCUCACUUUCCCGCUGAUGACAACAGGAAUCACUUCCACAUGCUAGAAUUUCAAAAGGGGAUUGUAACCUACAGAUGCUGCCCGGCAUGCUUCAUUUAGUUCUGCAAUAAACAGAGCAUGCAGCAUGGUGGUGGAUCUCA
rnacentral:lncRNA from 1 species